AAAAACCACAUCUUCAGCAGACUUCUUUGUAAGUAUGACAUCAUAACAAUGAAUAUUUCUAUUUACUUCAAGUUAUGUUUUUCAGAGGUGUCCUAAAACACUUUGUCCUGCCACACAGAUAAUCUUAUGACAAAGAAAUCAUUUUUCUUGGACAAAAAUAGGGUAUCUUCACAAGACAGGAGAUAGACACACAUCGUAGCCUUCGGAAUUUGUGAUUGCUCCUAUGCAACACUGCUGGCUCUACUAUUCUAGGUCUCCCCUUCUAAAGUGAAGUGAAGAUUCCUCAGAUGACAUUUUUGGUGUUCUUAGAUCAUUCAGUCACUGAUUAUGGACAGUUUUAGUUUCUCACAGAUGGCCAACUACCUAGCACAGUGCAUGAGUUAUGCAUGGUCCCCUCAGAAGGCUAGCUCAUUUCCAAGAGCCCUGGAAUACUUCCCUUGGUCUCUGUGUACUGAUAACACUCAUCCAAGGUCAUUUUUAGUGCUAAUAAAAUUCCUGGUAUCAGACACAUGCUUUGUUCCAAAGACUUGGGCAAAGUGCUCCCAAUUGUCUGCAUCUCCGCUGAGGGUCUCUAAUUAGUGUUCUCUCUCGGGUGUUUUGCUUUAAAGGAGAGGCAAAGCCGACAGAAAGGAAGACUGCAGGGAGCCUGCGCAACGUGGUUGCCACAGAAACCUGACGUCAUUACUGCGACUGUGACGACAUUCUGAACGAGACCGACUUGCUCUGGUUGGAGAGCAGGGCACCACCUCCAGGGGUUUGGACUCAGCGGAGGGUGUGGGUGCUUCUUGGUGGGGACUGAGCCUUCCUGGGGUAUGGAAGAAGAGGAGAAUCUCAGAACCAAGUCACCUCGUUCCUGUUCUGGGACUCGGUGCCCCGCUGACUGCGGAGGGAGAGACUGGCCCUAUGCAGCGUGAUGUCCUGCGCCAGGGUGUCCUGGACCUAAUUUCUAUGUAAAGGCGGGGCGCGGGAGGGUAAGGCAAGGA
rnacentral:lncRNA from 1 species